AUACCAAGGACAGUGGACAGGUGGCAUGCGGCAUGGCUACGGAAUCAGAAACAGCGUUCCGUAUGGCAUGGCUUCCAUCGUUAGACCAUCAUUGCGAACAUCCCUCACGUCGUUACGGAGCGAGCACGAAAACGGUUCCAUCGCGAGCUCGCCAGAAAACUUUGGGCAGCGGGGAGGGUUCGCAAUGGACGUUUCCGACGACUGCACCUCGGAUUUGGAAAGCAACAAAAGUGCCACACUGAGGCGGAACGAGACCUCACGCAGGAGUAGGACACUCAUGGGUGGGUUUAGGAGCAAGCGUAGGAAAGACAAAAACAAAAACAGGGAUUCUUUGGUAGAAAGUGGGGGCAGUGUGGCUUCUCUAAGACACAACCUUAAACACCAAGACUCACUAAAGAGUAAUGAAAGUACUAUGAGCACCAGUUCUGUGCAAUCAUCGUGUUUUGAGAGUGACAUGGGUCACAUGCAUGAAGAGGAGGCUUCACACGAUGUGACGGAGGUGUACAUGGGGGAGUGGAAGCAAGACAAGAGGGCUGGCUAUGGUACAAGUCAAAGAUCCGAUGGCUAUCAUUACGCAGGAGAGUGGCACAACAAUAAGAGACACGGCUACGGCUCAUUGAUAUACCCCAAUGGCCAGAAGGAGGAAGGAAAAUGGAAACAGAAUUUGUUAGUUGCAUCAGGAAAAAAGAAACUCUUUGUUAUUGGAUCAAAAAAGAUAAGUGAGCGGGUAGAGCAUGCUGUGGAGUUAGCCGGACAGGCUGCUAACCUUGCCAGAGCUAAGGCUGACCUGGCAAUAUCUAGGGCUGCAUAUGCCAAGGAGAAGGCUGAGAUGUCUGAUGUAGAAGCAUCGGAAGCUCGGGAGGAGUCUAUCAAGGCUAGGGCUAGGGCCAAAGAUCUUGCUUCAACAUUACCACCAAGAGGGGAAGGUGGUGACAUCAAGCUGGACAGGAAAAAGAGCUUCUUUGGUCGUCACUUAGGUGGCUUUGAUCGUAAGAAUCGGAUGAGAGGCACUAUCGUCAAAUCUCGAUCUGGAAGCCGGUCAGAACGUGGCGAGGGCUCCCAUCCCUCAUCUCAAUCCAGCGACCGUUCCAUUCCAAGUGGACUGUCCAAUGAAUGGGAUGGUCGUGGGGCCAGUCCACAGAACGACAGUCAGAUGAGAGAGGCUAGGUCUACAGGGAACCUCUGUGAUGGUAGUCCAGUUCCCAGGAGGCAUCGGGGAACCCUGGACAGGAUGGGCAACUCUCAACAGAGCAACCCUUCAGACUCCAGUCCUCAAAUGGACAGAAGGAUGCUCAGUAUGAGGGAGUAUCAUCAGAGAGAAUACCAUAGCAUGGAUGAGAGGUAUGGACCUGAUGGUAGAGAAUACCAUAUGGACAGGAACAGGCACUACAGCGACAGGUCCUUGACAGAUCUCACUCCUGAUUCAGGGAUCAGCACAACGUCAGAUUCUGACCGACUGAGACGGGAAGCCAUCAGAUCCAAUCACAGGAAAGCACCACCAAGAAGACAACUCACCAGACAAGAGGGCUUGGAUGAUGCUUAUCACAGUAGUCAUGGUGACCAUCAUGACCGCUAUGAUCACUACAACGACAGAGACUACAGAGACGACUACUACGACGACGAUACACCGUAUAACAAGUAUGACAACAAGUUUGACAAGGAAGACGAGGAUCCAUACCUCCAUGACCACAUGGUUGAAGAGGAGGAUCCAGAGAAACUAAAGCAGCAGCACUUGAAGCAGAAGAAGAAGAUUAAGAUCACUGAACUAGCCACCAAGGUAGAUGCUGCUCCUCCUGGUCAUUACAGGACGUUCCAGGGGAGGUUCCCAGCAACGUGUGGUAUCAAGUACCAACCUAAACCAGAAGGAGAGGAGGAUGAUGUCAGAGAUCCAGAGCUAGAUGGAGAGGGAGCUCUAGUUGUACAUUCUGCAAAAAUGAACUGGGCUGCAAGCAAAGGUCUAACCGUUCUAGUCCUGGUGCUCAACGUAGGCUUCACAGUCCUAUUCACCAGUCUCUUCUUACAGAUGGAAGAAGAAGGCAACUGGGACAGCUGGCCCUAGCCCUGGUCCUGGUCUUACCUCUAGUCCUCAAAACACAAACAUGUACAUAUUGCUUGUUUCUUCAGUCAUCUUGAGUUUCUGCUUGUCUGUGUUGGUGUGAUGAUGACAGGAAGCAUGGCCUUAAUUUAUUUAUUUUGAAGCCCUGAACGAGUUGCAGCAAUCGUCUUUGGCCUUGAAUUGUAGCGCCUCUUUCACCUUGCAUGAUCUGUAUAUACACAAACUUUGCGUAUUGUUUCUAAGGAGCACUCCCAUAGAUGAACAAAUAGAGGAUACAUUGAUGCAGAAGGAGCUGGGCUUCUUAUCAGUUACACAAUUAAGAUCCAGGAAACAUUUUACUUGGAGGUAUAGCGUACUCUAGUAGAAGUUACAAAGGAGCAGGAAUCCUGAAAAUUGCAAGCAAACUUUGGAUAAAGGAGCAAGGGGGCUUGAUGUUGCAUGCUGCACAUAUUUACUUAUACCUGGUCUGCCAGCAAGGGCCUUAUUCUGUUAGUCCUGGUCCUGAACGUUGGCUUUACGGUUCUCUUCACAAGCCUGUUCCUACAAAUAGAAGAAGAAGGAGAAUGGGAGAACUGGCCCUGACACUCACAAGACCAUUAGAACUGAUGAAGUACCAAACAAGUAUGUCGGUCCAUCUUGUAGCCGAGCUAAGACCAUCUUCAGGAUAGACUAUCACAAGUGAUCAAGCGCGAGAAUGAGAAUCUUGUAUUCUAGUUACAGGUUUACAUUGGAACUUGAAAACGUAGGAUGAAGACUUACUGAGGAACAUGAUAUCAGAGUACUAUUUGUAUGCUCUCUCAUCAGAGAAUACAUCAUCCUUGUUGCAACAUUCAUUUAUUUGUUUCAUUCAUUCUUUUAUUAACAUUUUUAAGAAUCAUCUAAAACAUACAGUGCUUUAUCUGAAAUAUGUGUUUCAUGAAUGUAACACAUGUAAUAGUAAAUAAGACUUUAAGGAAAUUCACUAGUUGGAAAUGUUGGGACAUACUGAAAAGCUUAUAAUUGAAUUAAAACUUUAUCCAAACAGAUGUCCUGUGACAUUGACCAAUCCUGAUCUGCCACUAAGUUAGAGCAGUAUCAGUGAUUCUGAUUGGCUGUACUG